CUGCCUGGGAAGGCUGCAGGAUCUGUGUGUGAGAGACACGCUUUCUGAUGCAAUGAUGGAGUCCUUGUCACAUUUGGUGCCCAAACAGGGACCACAUUGCUGGAUGCUACUACGCAGAAAAGGACCUGGCACUAAAUUAAGUUUGAGAUUCACUAUCAGCAGCCAGUUAAGUCCCUGUCCAAUUCCAAAGACGGGCUAAUAGCUGAGGUCCGAACAGCAGGAACAAGAAUGCUUCUCCGAUCUGGCCCUUUUCCGUAUUUACCAGAUAUACCAGCAAAGUCCAAGGAAUGCGACACUGAUGACCAUUAAAUAUAUUUUAUUAUACUGGAAAA